ensembl:lncRNA
AUAUUCCAAAAACUCAGAAUGUUCACUAAAUGCAAAUUAGGCAAAGUAUUGAAAAUAAGAAAGAAAACCCAUCCUAAGAUAAUUUCUGUGCCAAGGACAGACAAGAAUUACCGAAAUAGACCCCCAUGAAUACUUGAAAGGCAGUAACUGCGAAUGACAAUCCAGCUCAUCUAUCCCUUAGUAUCUGAUUUCAGUGACAGCUUAAAAGUGCCGGGUCUAGAGUUUGUUUGGGGGUUUUGGUUUUCUUUUUUUUUAAUCCAAAUAACGUUCCCUGGCUCUCGUCAAUUCUCAGCGUUUCACUCUUUGUCUAAAACAGUCACCCAUCUUGUUUUCUCUCAACCCUGAUGACCACUCUCCAUCACCUUCGCGACGUAACCACAGAAGGCAGUAAGGAAAAUGCACUGCAUGGGGGCAGGCUGCCGGGCGGUCCCUUGGGCCUCUGCCUGCUCCGGUCAGCGGGCCUGGGGGACGACGGCAGGACGGCGGUGUCACCUCAUCUGGUCCUUAGCAGCCCAGGGUCUCUUAGAGCUUCUGCUUUCUUAGAAGUUACCUGAAUCUAGCUUCUUCAGUUCGCUGAAACAGAGUCGUUAUGGGCCAUUUUGCCUUGAAGUUAAGAAGUGCGUGCCAGGGUUUACAUACAUAUCGCAUGUUAAACAUCGGUUACCACAGCCACCUGUAAAGUCCUGGGUAUUUCUAUUUCUGACUCUUGUCAGCCUAAAGAUGAAUUUGGAAAGUCCACCCAGUGGGCUUAGCUUCAGAGAGUGUGCCGCUUUUCUACCUGCUGCCUCUGGAACAGGAAGCAGCGAGGCAUUCGUCUCAGUGCUCUAUCUUUUUUCCUGAAAUACUUGCCAUUAUUUCCCAAAGGCCCAUUGGUAGCUAACGUCAGAUACUCCCUAAGGUCAGAUGACAGAUGCUUAAAGCAACCUGACAUGGAUUAUUCCUCCCACAUAAGGAUGCAGUGACAGAUUCUGAGAGAAACGGUUUGCAAAAUGUUUGAACCACUUUCUACAUCUCACAUUGUUAAACAGAACAGUUAGAUUUGCUGCAUAUGAACUUGCUCUUCAAGAGAACCAGUUUGGAACUGGCAAGACCACACAGCAGUGGUACAUGUUGUCUAACAGUUACUAGUUGUUCCACACGUGACUCCAGUAUUUCCCUAGCUCUUGUAGCUCACCUCCGAAAUCACAGACUCUAUGAAGAGAGCCUGGGUUGAUCAAUUCUCAAGCCCCUACCCAGGCCCUGUGCUAGCGCUUCUCUUUGUUUGCUCUUUCCUCCUCACCCUGACUCUGCACCCCUGUACUGACUCUGGUGUCAUUUUCUGCCUUGCCAGUAGGGGGCACUGCUGUGCAGGGUAAUUGCCUGGCCUGCUCCCUUCCUGACCCCCCAGGAGGUCCUGCACUACCUCCGUCUUAUUCAGACUUCAGGGUACAUCUUGAUAAGUCAAGUCAAAACUGCCAAUUUUAGGGCUGAGAUGUGUUUUUUUAAAAAUCCUUAUAGACUCCACUUUGUACUUUAGAUUUUGAAACUGGGCAGAAAAUGUGACGUACUUUGGACCACUUUUUUUAAUUUAUCGAAGCCUUAAUGAACAGUGUAUAUACAUUUGCAUACACACACACCCCGACCCAAAAGUGUUUUCAGUGCGUCGGAGACAAAGCUGUAGCAUUAGGACGUGAGCUGGUAUGUUUCAUAGAAAAGGAGAGCUUUCCGUUGGUAUGGAAUUUUCCAAGAAAAUCUCUCAUUAGACCGCCCCCCUUCGUCAAAGGUGUUAGGUGCAGAGCAACGCAUGUUUAAGAUGCAUGUCUUUGUGUUGGUUGGUUUUGUGUUUGUAUGAGUAAUGAUAGAAUAUAACAACAUUAGCGACAGACCUCUGUGUACUACCUUCUCAACCUGUAUCAGUGCAUCGUAAGCCUUCUCAUGACCAUGACCCUGUGUCCACACAUCUGUGCUCCUACAUAAACCAGUCUGCCCCUCUUUCUCAGACUAAUUUCACCUAGAUUGUCACGGUUUCCUUCAUGUUAACUUUGCAUAUCUUUGUGCUUCCUUCACUACUACGUAUGUAAUAUAUAUACGUACAUAUGCUGUCCAAAUAUACCUUUACAUAUUUGUAUAGCAUUUUUACACCUACCUUGAGGAAUCUGGUUUCGAAAGGGAGUGAGAGUUUAGUCCCUUCUACAGUUUUCUCCAAGCUGUGUCCUGAGAAUUCUGACCCUCAGAGCCUGAGAGCACCCCAGGAAGAUGAUAUAAUAUGCCGUCAUCUCUUAACUCAGCACCUAUUAUCAAAGGAAACAUGAAAAAACAGUGACUUUUAAGGUGAAAAACAGUUUCAAGCAUUCCAAAUGAAUUCUCAAUGUUUCAUAACUUUUUAUUAUAAACACACCUCCUAAAUAAAGCCAAGUACCAUUUGAUACAGUGAUUAAAAAGCAAACAACUUGGAAAUUUUUUAACAGACAACGUAUGGAUAAAUGCUCAUUUUCACAAUCAGAAUAGCUGUAAAAUACGGUUGAAUUUGAUACAGACAGAAAACGUUUAGUUGAAGGACAAAUCCUUUUUGCUUUUCGUUUUUCUUGGGAGAUCUAAAGAGAAAUUGUGGAUUGUUUUCCUGACAGCAAAAGAGUAAUGUGACAAAAUGAAGUCAUUGUAAAGAAGUGAUGCAACUUGUCAAAUAUUUAAUAAAGAAUUAUGGAAGCUGG